rnacentral:rRNA from 1 species
GACGAACGCUGGCGGCGUGCUUAACACAUGCAAGUCGAACGGAAAGGCCCUGCUUUUGUGGGGUGCUCGAGUGGCGAACGGGUGAGUAACACGUGAGUAACCUGCCCUUUACUUUGGGAUAACUUCAGGAAACUGGGGCUAAUACCGGAUAUGAUCUCCUGCUGCAUUGUGUGGGUUGGAAAGUUUCGGCGGUUGGGGAUGGACUCGCGGCUUAUCAGCUUGUUUGUGGGGUAGUUGCUUACCAAGGCUUUGACGGGUAGCCGGCCUGAGAGGGUGACCGGAGACAUGGGGACUGAGAUACGGACCAGACUGCAACGGGAGGCAGCAGGGGGGAAUAUUGCACAAUGGGAGGAAGCCUGAUGCAGCAACGCAGCGAGCGGGAUGACGGCCUUCGGGUUGAAAACCGAUUUCGCCUGUGACGAAGAGUGAGUGACGGUAAUGGGUAAAGAAGCACCGGCUAACUACGUG